GGGGCAUGGCGGAGCUACACAUGCAAGUCGAGCGGAACGAGUUAUCUGAACCUUCGGGGAACGAUAACGGCGUCGAGCGGCGGACGGGUGAGUAAUGCCUAGGAAAUUGCCCUGAUGUGGGGGAUAACCAUUGGAAACGAUGGCUAAUACCGCAUGAUGCCUACGGGCCAAAGAGGGGGACCUUCGGGCCUCUCGCGUCAGGAUAUGCCUAGGUGGGAUUAGCUAGUUGGUGAGGUAAGGGCUCACCAAGGCGACGAUCCCUAGCUGGUCUGAGAGGAUGAUCAGCCACACUGGAACUGAGACACGGUCCAGACUCCUACGGGAGGCAGCAGUGGGGAAUAUUGCACAAUGGGCGCAAGCCUGAUGCAGCCAUGCCGCGUGUGUGAAGAAGGCCUUCGGGUUGUAAAGCACUUUCAGUCGUGAGGAAGGUGGUGUAGUUAAUAGCUGCAUCAUUUGACGUUAGCGACAGAAGAAGCACCGGCUAACUCCGUGCCAGCAGCCGCGGUAAUACGGAGGGUGCGAGCGUUAAUCGGAAUUACUGGGCGUAAAGCGCAUGCAGGUGGUUUGUUAAGUCAGAUGUGAAAGCCCGGGGCUCAACCUCGGAAUAGCAUUUGAAACUGGCAGACUAGAGUACUGUAGAGGGGGGUAGAAUUUCAGGUGUAGCGGUGAAAUGCGUAGAGAUCUGAAGGAAUACCGGUGGCGAAGGCGGCCCCCUGGACAGAUACUGACACUCAGAUGCGAAAGCGUGGGGAGCAAACAGGAUUAGAUACCCCGG
rnacentral:rRNA from 1 species